UCGCGGCUUAUCACCGGCAGUCUCCUUAGAGUGCUCAACUAAAUGGUAGCAACUAAUGACAAGGGUUGCGCUCGUUGCGGGACUUAACCCAACAUCUCACGACACGAGCUGACGACAGCCAUGCAGCACCUGUGUAUCGGCUCUCUUUCGAGCACUCCCACUUCUCAGCAGGAUUCCGACCAUGUCAAGGGUAGGUAAGGUUUUUCGCGUUGCAUCGAAUUAAUCCACAUCAUCCACCGCUUGUGCGGGUCCCCGUCAAUUCCUUUGAGUUUUAAUCUUGCGACCGUACUCCCAGGCGGUCAACUUCACGCGUUAGCUGCGUUACCAAGUCAAUUAAGACCCGACAACUAGUUGACAUCGUUUAGGGCGUGGACUAC
rnacentral:misc_RNA from 1 species